rnacentral:misc_RNA from 1 species
AUGGUCAGAAAUUGCAUCCUUAUAUCUUAGCCACAUAUUUUACUCAUGUAGUCGCUUUCUCUGUUAUCAUUUCUUGUCUAUGGAUUAACUGAAUUGUGCACUUGUCCUCCUUGGUUAUAUGUACUUUUCUUCUCUUUAAGUUUUGGAUGCAUUAACACAAACAUUCAAGGAUAGUUAGAAUCCAAUUUAAGGUCCAGUUUAAUUUUAUUCUGAACUUGUAAUUAUCCCUUAUUUUUUACUCUCUCUUUCUCUGUAUUUGACUAUUUGUUUCAGGA